rnacentral:rRNA from 1 species
CCUACGGGAGGCAGCAGUGAGGAAUAUUGGUCAAUGGACGAGAGUCUGAACCAGCCAAGUAGCGUGAAGGAUGACUGCCCUAUGGGUUGUAAACUUCUUUUAUAAAGGAAUAAAACGAGGCACGUGUGCCUUUUUGCAUGUACUUUAUGAAUAAGGAUCGGCUAACUCCGUGCCAGCAGCCGCGGUAAUACGGAGGAUCCGAGCGUUAUCCGGAUUUAUUGGGUUUAAAGGGAGCGUAGAUGGGUUGUUAAGUCAGUUGUGAAAGUUUGCGGCUCAACCGUAAAAUUGCAAUUGAUACUGGGAGUCUUGAGUACAGGUGAGGUAGGCGGAAUUCGUGGUGUAGCGGUGAAAUGCUUAGAUAUCACGAAGAACCCCGAUUGCGAAGGCAGCUUACUAGACUGUGACUGACAUUGAUGCUCGAAAGUGUGGGUAUCAAACAGGAUUAGAUACCCGAGUAGUC